CCAAAACAGUAUUUCCUCAUUUGCUCUCUAUGCUUCAGGGGUAUCACAGUGUGGGCUGCACAGCAGCAGGUACUAAGUCAGAAAGGGUGAAGGUUCCCCGUGUUCCCCCGUGGCCUUGUGUGGGUCAUGCUCCAGAAACCAGGACGGGCCUGAUGCAACCACAGCCACCCUUCUUGGUGGCUCAGUCUGCUUAACAUCAUGUGGAUUUUGCUCUUCCGUUGAUUCUCAUAAUUUAAAAAUGUGGGAAGCUGUGGAAGGCUGCCCCACCCCUGGGGAUCAUUCCAAAGAAAACUGGGAGGUAAGGCUCGCCUCAGUCCUUGCAUGCAGACGUCCGUCAACGGUUUGUACAGUUUCCAGGCUUCUGCUUUCAUUUCAUUCCUUGGGACUUGAAUAUUCAAAUCUGGCAUAUUCUUGAAGCCUGAGAGAUGGAUUUAGAAGAGAUUUUGUUUAAGUCACUUGAUCCUAAAAACAGGGCACACCCUUCUUAAUAAAUAACUUUGAAGAAAUUGUGGUUAUAGAUCCUGUGAUUAGUUUGGUAGAGGAAGAUGUGCAGGAAUAAACACAGUGAAAUCAUGAGGGCAAAGUAAUGUCCUCAAAGAAUGAGAUAUUUCUCAUUUUUCUCUACGUCCCUGAAAUGUCCUGAAAAAGCAAGCAUUCAGGGCAGGAGCUUUGCAAUCAGUUACAAAACGUCAGUGUCUAUUGAAGAAGGUUCAAAUGCAUGGAAGCCUCAUGCAUUUUUCUUUUUUUUUGGCCGUUCCUAGACCUCCUAAAUAAGGCAUUUUUCCCUAGAGUAGGCUCCCGGGCAGCAUGUCAGGGCAGUGGCUGAGUCUGCUUGCCGGGGGUCAGGAAGGCUGUUCUUCCAGGAAGGGCUGCAGAGACCCUGGGAACAGGACUAGGCUGCUCACAAGUAUGAAGAGAAUGUCGGGAGAGGAAGUGGUGGCUGUGAGUCAGCAUGAGUCAUCUCGUUCCAAUGAGAAUGAAGACUGAGGUGUGCGCCUUUUUUUUCUCUCUCUCACUUUUUAAAUUUUUUUUAUUUUUUUGAGUCUCAAUCGUGUGGACAUCACUGGGAAUGGAGGGAAAUAACUGACUGAAUGGUCGUUGCUUUUAAGUUUCAAACCGACAUUCCAGGCGGGUUGUGUCUGAGCCAGCCUCGGGCUUUCAGACCUUCACAGCCUGGUCCUGAGAAGGUAGAGCUCUCAGCUUCUCCCUGGUCUGAGCAGCAGAUUGAAGUGCAAAGCCCAUUUUUUGGGAGAGGUUGGACCGGUUGUAUUCAUGAAUCAAGCCAUCCCUCUGUCUGUCUCUGAACCUGUUCUUUCACUUGUUUGGGGGAAUUAAGGAAUAACUGGGAGAUGAAACAGGAAACUUUAUGACACACUUGCUUGAAAAUGACACAGGACUCAGCCCCUCUGCAUCACCUCUACCUGCUGCCCACAGCCGAAUGCGGGGGAAGGGCUGGCCCUGGGACCUGAUUCCAACCGCCGUGGACUCGACGUUCAGUGUGAUGUGUCUGCCAUACUGUGGUCAUGGGCUAGUCUGGUCGGUUUCCUAUGUAGCUGGCCACUCUCAGUGUAUCUUUGCCCCUUUUCCUUCAUUAAAAGCAUAACUAAAGAAAAAUGGAUUGUUUACUUAUUGUUGCUGUUCAUCCGCUAAGUUGUGUCUGACCCUUUGAGACCCCAUGGGCUGUAGCACUCCAGGCUCCUCUGAACUCCACGAUCUCAAUAGCUCUGUUUAAAUCUCAAUGUAAAGGAGACCAAAUAAUGUUUGAGAUUCAUUUCUCUAGGACCACAGAGAAACCAUGUCAUAACCACACAGCUCAUUAUGACAGCUUCUAGAAGAAGUGUGUUGAACUUGAAUCACUUAUUACUCAGUCUGGUCUGCCCUGCCUUUUCUUCUCUCUCUGGAAGCCCUCUCUUGAAUCAGUACUGGCAAGUUGACACUUGAGAAAAAUCCUGGGAGAUAUUUGGAAGUCUCUUCCCACACCCUCUCUGAUCAUGGCCUACAGACGGUGGCCCUGAAUCGUCACCAACCUUGAGCUUGCUACUGCAGACUUCUGUCUUCUCAGCUGCCCCUCUCCUUCCCUCUGCACAUCAGCCACUCAUUCACUGUUUCAU
ensembl:lncRNA